CCUGCGGAGGAUCAUUACACAUUCGGGGCGCUUCGGCGCUCCUUAUACACCCACCCUCUGCCUACGUGUACCUCUAUAGCUUCCUCGGCGGGCUCGCCCGCCGCCAGGAACCCACGAAACCCCUUGCAUUAUACGCGAAAACUUCUGAUAACAAACCUAAAUUAUCACAACUUUCAACAAUGGAUCUCUUGGUUCUGGCAUCGAUGAAGAACGCAGCGAAAUGCGAUAAGUAGUGUGAAUUGCAGAAUUCAGUGAAUCAUCGAAUCUUUGAACGCACAUUGCGGCCAUAGGUAUUCCUUUGGCCAUGCCUGUUCGAGCGUCAUUUACACCCUCAAGCCUAGCUUGGUGUUGGGCGUCUGUCCCGCCGUUUUCGCGCGCGGACUCGCCUCAAAGUCAUUGGCGGCGGUCGUGCCGGCCCCCUCGCGCAGCACAUUUGCGCUUCUCGGAGGCCCGGCGGAUCCGCGCUCCAGCAAGACCUUUCACGACUUGACCUCGGAUCAGGUAGGGAUACCCGCUGAACUUAAGCAUAUCAAUAAGCGGAGGA
rnacentral:rRNA from 1 species